GACGAACGCUGGCGGCGUGCCUAAUACAUGCAAGUCGAACGCUGAAGGAGGAGCUUGCUCUUCUGGAUGAGUUGCGAACGGGUGAGUAACGCGUAGGUAACCUGCCUGGUAGCGGGGGAUAACUAUUGGAAACGAUAGCUGAUACCGCAUAACAGUAGAUGUUGCAUGACAUUUGCUUAAAAGGUGCAAUUGCACCACUACCAGAUGGACCUGCGUUGUAUUAGCUAGUUGGUGGGGUAACGGCUCACCAAGGCGACGAUACAUAGCCGACCUGAGAGGGGGAUCGGCCACACUGGGACUGAGACACGGCCCAGACUCCUACGGGAGGCAGCAGUAGGGAAUCUUCGGCAAUGGACGGAAGUCUGACCGAGCAACGCCGCGUGAGUGAAGAAGGUUUUCGGAUCGUAAAGCUCUGUUGUAAGAGAAGAACGAGUGUGAGAGUGGAAAGUUCACACUGUGACGGUAUCUUACCAGAAAGGGACGGCUAACUACGUG
rnacentral:rRNA from 1 species